UCUCUCUCUCCGGCGUUUAAGGAGCAGCAGCACGGCUGUUUCUGUGUCGAGUGGAGAGAGAGCUGAGUGGGUGGGCCAGACUGAGGCCCCAUCCACACGAA